rnacentral:rRNA from 1 species
UACGUAGGGGGCAAGCGUUGUCCGGAAUCAUUGGGCGUAAAGAGCGUGUAGGCGGCCAGGUAGGUCUGCUGUGAAAACUCGAGGCUCAACCUCGAGACGUCGGCGGAAACCAUCUGGCUAGAGUCCGGAAGAGGAGAGUGGAAUUCCUGGUGUAGCGGUGAAAUGCGCAGAUAUCAGGAAGAACACCAGUGGCGAAGGCGGUUCUCUGGGCAUUACCUGACGCUGAGGAGCGAAAGUGUGGGGAGCGAACAGG